rnacentral:antisense_RNA from 1 species
CUUGACCGAGCCGAGCAGCAGCGGCUCCUCGCGCUCCUGCCCGUACGUGGCCAGCAGGGCCUGCGCCUC